rnacentral:rRNA from 1 species
GACGAACGCUGGCGGCGUGCCUAACACAUGCAAGUCAACUUGAGGGAAGGAGCAAUCUGACCUGAUGGUGGCGCAAGGGUGCGUAACGCGUAAGUAACUUGCCCCAAGGUAAGGAAUAACGUCGAGAAAUCGGCGCUAAUACCUCAUAAUGCAGCGGAUCCGCAUGGAUAUGUUGUUAAAGGUUUACCGCCUUGGGAUAGGCUUGCGUCUGAUUAGCUAGUUGGUGUGGUAAUGGCACACCAAGGCUACGAUCAGUAACUGGUCUGAGAGGAUGAUCAGUCACACUGGAACUGAGACACGGUCCAGACUCCUACGGGAGGCAGCAGUUGAGGAAUAUUGGGCGAAUAGCACCGAAAGUAGUGACCCACGCAACGACCGCCGUGGA